rnacentral:lncRNA from 1 species
AUGGAGGAGACAUCGCGGAGAGCGCUACUACACCCAGCCAUGGUUUUCUGCUUUCAUUCUUCCGCUGCUUAUUUAUUUAUUCGGCGGAGGGAAGGCAGCGAUGCCGAGAGAAGCCGGCUGAGAUUUGUGCCGUGCACGUUGUGGGGUUUUUUGGGGGGUAUUUUUUGGGUUUGGGGUUUUUUUUGUAGGGUUUUUGUGUUUUUUUUUUUUGCAGUAGCAGUGCGCGCCUCCAUCUUCCUCGCCGGAUCGAGCGGGGUCUCAGGACGACGCGUCUCCCUCCCCACCUCCACUCUCCGCUCCCCCCUGCAGCGCGGCUCUCCUCCCGGGCACUGCCGCCCGCCCUCUCCCCCCCUCGGCUCCCGCUCAGCUCGGGCAGCGUCGGGACGUCUCUUAUCUCCACCGAAACCACCGCGACCGGCGAAACCCGAUGGCAAACUUACAGCCCUCCCGAGGAGGCUCUCUGAGGGCAGAACCCCUCCGGGAUUCACGGCACCCGGGGCGCCAAACGCAACCGCUCUCGGACCGCCUCCCCCUCCGCCCUCCCCGGGCCCGGCCGACAAAAGCCCCCCCGGGGGCCGCUCGGGCCCGGCCGCCAACAGGUGUGACUCGCCCCGCGUCCCCCCGCCGCCACGGGGGAAGCUGAGGCGCUGCCUGCCGCCCGCCCGCCGCAAAACUUUCCGCCCCCCGCCGCUCCGGGCCGGGCCGUCCUGCGGCACGCACCGCGGGCAGCAGCCUCAGAGCGGAGGCGUCCCGGGGCCGGGCCGGGCGGCGGCCGGCGCUUACCUGCCUCAGGCGGAGGGCGCGCUGCGCGGCAUGGCGGCGAGGCGGGCGGCGGGAGGCGGCCGGCGGCCCGGCCUGCGCUCGCAGGGCGCUAGGGCAGCAUCAAGGCAACUUAGGGGGAAGGCUGGCGGGGCCUAUUGUCUGCGCGGGGCGGCGGGGCGGCGGGGCGGCCUCCCCCCGCGGGCGCCGCGGCGCUUGGUACGGCCCAGGCAUUCAUGCCAAGCGGCUCUGGCGCACGGCGCUCGCCUCCCGCGGCUGCUGACAAGCCGCAAACGAGGCGCCCCCUCCCGCCGCCUCCCCCGCCCCGCCGGCGGGCGGGACGCGGCGCGGCCUCCCCCGCCUCGCGAGCACCGGCGGCGGCCACGGGCCCCCGGGGGCUUCAACGCCUGGGCCUCCCAACUGCGCGGGGAGCCGGGGCCUGGCCCGCAGCCACGGUGCCCGUCGAGCUCCGCAGACGAGCUGCUGGGCGGUGGGCACGUGCCCGUCAUCCCCAUCCCAGUGUCGGCUCCUCUUGAGGGGUGCAGGCCCGUGCCCCGAGAACAGCCAAAUUCCAGCUCUCUGGGGCUAACGUGGGAGCACGGUGAGGAAACUGGCCACACAACACCCCCGAGCUCGGGCUGA